UUUUGUCCUUUUUAGGGCCACACCCGCAGCACAUGGAGGUUCCCAGGCUAGGUGUCUAAUUGGAGCUACAGCUGCUGGCCUACGCCAGAGCCACAGCAACAACAGAUCUGAACUGCAUCUGUGACCUACACCACAGCUCACAGCAACGCCAGAUCCUUAACCCACUGAACGAGGCCAGGGAUCGAACUCGCAACCUCAUGGUUCCUAGUCGGAUUCGUUUCCACUGGACCAUGACAGGAACUCUGAUACCUGGUCUUUCUGAGGAAUGAUAUCAAAUCAAGGGCUUAGUGCUGAUCUCUGCUAGCAAGAAGGUAGUCAGAAAUUAUCAGCCCUACCAACAGGCAGCCUCUAUUCCUGCCAUUAUCGCUACUCUGUUCAUAGGCCCACUGUGUAAGCACUAGGAUAACCAAGGAGAAAGACUGGCUAGUGUCCAUGGGUUGAGUCAUCUUAUGCAGCUGAUAUUUAGUGACUCCUGUGAGGUAGAUGCUGGUGGGACAUGAGACGUGAUGAUUCUCAGUCUGUGCGCCCACUCCCAUAAGUCUAUCCAGUGUGUCUCUCCCUCAAAAGUCUUUGUUUCUGGUUGCUAAAUCUUGAUUUUUCAACAUCUCUGGAUAACCAGACUAUUCACCAUGGCCCGUAAGUCCAUGGAUAUCCACCCUUUAGCUCAAUUCUUUAUUCACACAGCACAAAUAUACAAAUGCAUGGCUUGCAACUCUGCCAACUGGGAAGAUUUCUCUUAACUUUUCCUCAUGACCACCUCUAAGAAGGUUUAGUGUAGCGAUGAUUCACUCUUGCUUAGAAGUUAUAUAUUGAGUUCUGUUAAUUGUUGAAGGAAACGGCCCAGAAACCAUAAAUGUUUUUUGAGAGAGGUGACAGGGGAACUUGAACUUCCUGUUCAUAAAAUUUACUUGUGAUUCCUGAAUCUGCUUGAACAGUUCUAGCAUGAGGGAAAUUUUGGGUAUGGUAAAAUAUUCCUUAUUUUGAUUAGGAUGGUGAGCCAAUGAGUUCAAAACUUAUUGAACUCCAUACUAAAAUGGGUUCAUUUUAUUGAAUCCUUAAAUAAAGGUGAUUUUAACAGGUGAAAUUAAUGAAUUAGUCAAUAUUUCAAAGUCAUGGUUGUUGUUAGUCAAUUUUUGUUCUUCAUGCCUCUGGGCUACUUCAUGCCAGUUACUAAUCUGAUUACUAAAUAAAAAUUAAUUCUGUUACCAUAAGAAUGUAGGAUGAUGAUGACCACAUAGUAGGGGCAGGGAGAGUUUGUCUGGAACUCAGUGGUUCAAUAAGUGCCUAAUGGCAUUUCCAUGUAAAUUGGCAAUUCAAGCAAAGCAGAUACAAGAAUACCUCCCCUCCCUUCUCCAUCAGUUCUUCAUACCCAUACACUUCAGAUACAAUAGAAUUCUGAGUAACUAUGUUGAAUUUCAUAAAAACUCCAGGAGCUAGAUUGUUAUUCAUGAAGUUUGGGGUGACACUUGAGGGAAGUGAUACAAGAAGGCUAGGACAAAGGAGGUACAAGAUAAGAUAUUCUUUAAUUAAAGGCUGAGGUUUUACACCUAUCUAAAGUCAGGAGUUAAGGGGCUUCUCUGAAUAUAGUAGGAAACCAGAUCUAGUCUUCUUAUAUAAAGCUGGGAACAGGGAUAACAUUGAUCUGUCCCUGAACCUGGACCUAAAAAGUAUCUUUCUAUCACUCAUAUAUAGCAGCAAUUGCUAACUUAUUCUUUAUAAAUUUUGGUACUUCUGAAUUUCUAAAAAAAAAAAUACUGAUGAUAGAAUGAGUCUAAAUUAUAACUGGGGGAACUGAUACAUUUAAUUUGGGGCAUAUUGAGUUUAAGGAGUGUUUGGGACAGCUCAAUGUCUCAAAUGUCCAGCAAGCUUAUCUACAGAAACUUAAAGAAAAGUGUGUCCCAAAGAUAUGCACUGGGAGUGAUGGAGGAAAGGACUGGAGCUAGAUGAUACCACUAAAGAAUGAUGUGUAAAAUAAGAAGAAUAUUGGGCAAAAGUCAGAAGUCGGCUGUUCACCACACUUGAAGGGUUAGGAGGAACAUAAAUGGUCACAGACAGAGCAAGGUAACUAGGAGAAGAUGGUGUUACCAACACCAAGCACAUAGAACAAGUCAACAUGCAUAAGAGAAACAUGGAAGCUGCAAAUUGGAAAACGUUCCUUGGAAUUGGCAAUGAGAUAUUAGUUCAUAAGCUUCAAGAGCAGUUUACAAAGUGUGGGAGGCUAAAAGUGAAUCACAGUGAAUUGAGGAGUAAAAGGUAAAUGAGAGAAAAGAAUACAGUUAAUAAUAUAGAAAAAGAGGAAUAAAGAUAGAGUAAGAAAUUUACAGGAGAUGUGUCAGAAGAAACAGUGGGAAAACGCAAUGUCAGGGAAACACAGUGUCAAGUUAGGUAGUUUGAGAAUGGAAUACACUCGGCUCUCUUAAAAAGUAAGGAAAAUGAGCCAGUAUCAAAGAUAAAUUAAU
rnacentral:lncRNA from 1 species